rnacentral:miRNA from 1 species
GGGAAAAGGGUUGGGGC